UCUUUUUUUUUUGUUGUUUUUUUUCUUUCUUCUCACAAGUCUUGUGGGACCAUCACCGCAAUGUUCCAGAUUUCUCAAGAAGUGAAAUGGAAUUGCAUUUAGAAGCAAUAUGGUUUUGACACAUCAGAGAGCAACAGCAUUUAUUUUCUUCUGUUCUUGUUGUCUUUUUAAACUAUUCACUAAGAUGCUAUUGACUACUAGCGACUGAGAGACUUCAAAUGAAGAAGAAAGUAAUAAUGGAAGACUUCAGUUCUCUUUACAUAGCAUUAUAUUUAUCAUAUGGAUGGGCUGUCAUGCAGACAGCACAUGUGUGUGUUCUCAUACAUCACUGCUUUUUGGAGCAAAAACUCACAACAGAAGGUUAAUCCAUCCCAAGAACACAAGGCCCUGAUUAUGUUGGGUCAAGGUCACUGUAACACUAAUUGCAUUCUCCUCAAAUUUUACAUAUACUAAGAAAAAAAUUUAAGAAAAAAAUCCUUGAAGUUGUUCUGAAAGAACUAGAAAUUGGUGUUUGCUGUAGUACAUAACCUGUUCUUGAAAUUGUCUAGAGUGCCAAAGGAAUAGCAAGUCACAAAUACCACAUUGGUCUCUAAUACAAGCACUGUUUCCUGAGUACUUUAAGACAGAUAAUUAAUUUUAAACAAGGUAGAACAGUAAAAACAGUAAUAAGGAAAGAAUGAGGAAAUACCUAUGACAGUUUAUAGAAGAGUAAAUGUGGGGUUUGUACUGGAAAAUCAGGCCUAGCAACUCUACUAGAAGGUUCCAGUAGACAUGGAGAAUAUUGAUCAUGUGCUAUUCAAAAAGUCCUGAGUCACCUGGAAGAAAGAAGUAAUGAUGGAGUUUACUGAUUACUCGUACGUAUUCAUGGUUGUCAAAAGCAGAGUUUGAGUAUGGAUACCUGGGGAAGAUUCGUCUACUGCUGAACUGAGAUAAUGACAUGGAGACUAAAUUUAGUGCUGUGAAAGUCAAAGUAAUGUAUUUGGGAAAAUUAACCCUAAAAAUACCUGUGCAGUGACAGUUAACAUUAGCAACAUUGUUACAGGGUUACUAGAUGCAACAAGGUUUUCCGGUGUAAGACAAGGUGAUUAAGGGUAAAUAUUAUGGAAACCUAUACAAUCAUGAGCUUUCUAAUUGCCAUAGGAUGUCAUAUUGUCAAAAAUGGAUUUACCAUGUUUCUGGAGAAUAGGUCGAGAGGGGCUCUUGAACAUAGUCAUCCAAAUGCGACUGACCACUGGCUCAGGAGGUUCCUAAACCUUUAAUUCAAUGAAAACAGGAUGAUAUAGCGAGGAAGAAUCCUUCAUUAUAUACUUAUUUCUACACUCCUGUAAGUGUCCAUUAUUAGACUUUGUAAGAGAGAAGGCAAUUUAAUAGAGGGACUUCUGGUUUAAGGUACUGUAGUACUGCUUAUUCUACUAACUCUUCUUGUGAUUAUUGACAAAGUUGGAAAAAAGUGAGUUUCACUCAACUGAAGAAUAAGCUUCAAAAUCUUGAGUAUCAAAUAUGACCCUAUGACAUAUCUUUUAAAUAAACGUGUCAGAUGCCUGAAAACCUUUCUAAAAGGACUCUCAGCUACUGCCUAUGGAGUCUGUUGUUUUUGGAAACAGUCAUGUUUGAGCAAUAGACUGUUGUCUUCAUCACUUCUUUCACACAGGCAGGUGUAUUGUCCUUUCAGAGACAUGAAGGGAUUAAAUACUUUACAGUGAGUAUCUCAGAGGGCUAUAAAAUGUACUUCUCUCUCUGGCAUGUGUCCACUGGUGUGAUUUCAAUAAAGUGUUUCUUUACUGUCCAAAA